AUUGCUUGCUUCUCUGAUGUUAGCGGCGGACGGGUGAGUAACACGUGGAUAACCUACCUAUAAGACUGGGAUAACUUCGGGAAACCGGAGCUAAUACGAUAAUAUUUAUGAACCGCAUGGUUCUCAAAGUGAAAGACGGUCUUGCUGUCACUUAUAGAUGGAUCCGCGCUGCAUUAGCUAGUUGGUAAGGUAACGGCUUACCAAGGCAACGAUGCAUAGCCGACUGAGAGGGUGAUCGGCCACACUGGACUGAGACAUACGGUCCAGACUCCUACGGGAGGCAGCAGUAGGGAAUCUUCCGCAAUGGGCGAAAGCCUGACGGAGCAACGCCGCGUGAGUGAUGAAGGUCUUCGGAUCGUAAAACUGUUAUUAGGGAAGAACGGAUGUGUAAGUAACUGUGCACAAUUCUUGACGGUACCUAAUCAGAAAGCCACGGCUAACUACGUGCCAGCAGCCGCGGUAAUACGUAGGUGGCAAGCGUUAUCCGGAAUUAUUGGCGUAAAGCGCGCGUAGGCGUUUUUAAGUCUGAGUCUGUGAAAGCCCACGGCUCAACCGUGGAGGGUCAUUGGAAACUGGAAAACUUGAGUGCAGAAGAGGAAAGUGGAAUUCCAUGUGUAGCGGUGAAAUGCGCAGAGAUAUGGAGGAACACCAGUGGCGAAGGCGACUUUCUGGUCUGUAACUGACGCUGAUGUGCGAAAGCGUGGGGAUCAAACAGGAUUAACCCUGGUAGUUCCACGCCGUAAACGAUGAGUGCUAAAUGUGUUAGGGGGUUUCCGCCCCUUAGUGCUGCAGCUAACGCAUUAAGCACUCCGCCUGGGGAGUACGACCGCAAGGUUGAAACUCAAAGGAAUUGACGGGACCCGCACAAGACGGUGGCAUGUGGUUUAAUUCGAAGCGCAACGCGAAGAACCUUACCAAAUCUUGACAUCCUUUGACCUCUAGAGAUAGAGCCCUUAACCUUUCGGGGGACAAAGUGACAGGUGGUGCAUGGUUGUCGUGCUCGUGUCAGUGAGAUGUUGGGUUAAGUCGCAACCCUGAGCGCAACCCUUAAGCUUAGUUGCCAUCAUUAUUGGGCACUCUAAGUUGACUGCCUGACAAACUUAACGGAGGAAGGUGGGGAUGAAUGCCCCG
rnacentral:rRNA from 1 species